GCUAAGAAGAGCAGGCAGAAAGAACCCGAGGAGAUGGCAGCAUCAACAUCUCAGGCUGAGGCCAGCCAGCCGCAGGAGUCCUCUGCUGACAGAGCUGGAUUUCUGCCACCGAUAAACGAAGAAACACAGUCUCCUCAGCGUCAGCCCCCGGACACCAAAGCCCCACCGCGCAGGAAGGGCACACCCUACCCACGCUGAUGCGGGCAUGGGGCGCCCAUGAGCUCCAAGAGCUCCACUCGAGCUGGCUGCAAAACAGAUGCUUGAAUCCCAUCUGCAUCAUAUCUAAUCCUAGACUAGGCUGCCGAGUGCCCAAUCCAACCUGGCCUUCAACACUGCCACGGACGCGGCGUCCACAAGCUCUCUGGGCAUCCGCUUCCAGCAUCUCACCCCCGUCUCUGGAAAGACCUUCUCCCUGACAUCCAAUCUUCAUUGUCCCUCCCUCUGUCAAUAAAGCCUUACCAUGGGCCUAUCCCAUACAAAUCUCCACAAUGCCUGUGGCAGUGUCAUUGCGUCUUUGGACGCCAGCUCUGGUGCUGGCGGAGGGAGAAAGAAUUGUGAGAGGGCAUCAGAACAUCUCACGAUGCUUUCCUUGAUGCCAAAGGAAAUCCAGCAUCUCGCUUGGCUUGGCUGUCUGAGCUUUUCUGCUGAAGGGGAAGACCAAAAAUGAAGUCAGCUUCAAAUUGGUGCGGCAGCUCAGAGCUCUCAGAGGAUACCAGGGAUCCUUGGGAGGCCCUUUCCAAGUGGAAGAUUGCGUCCUAUAAAGAAUCACAGAAUCACUGAAUCAUACAAUGGCGUGCGUUGAAAAGGACCACAGUGACCAUCAAGUUUCACCUCCCACCCCCCUCCCUGCUAUGUGCAGUAUUGCCAGCCACUAGACCAAAAUGCCCCGUGCCACAUCCAGCCUGGCCUUGAAUGCCUCCAGGGAUGCGGCAUCCACAACCUCCUUGGGCAACCUGUUCCAGUGCCUCACCAGCCUCUCGGGGAAAAACUUCAUUCUCAGAUCCAACUUAAACCUCCCCUGUCUCCCUUGAAGACCACUCCUGCAUCUCCUAUUACAACCCACCCUCGGAAACAGCCAUUCUCCCUCCUGCUUAGAUGCUCCCUUUAAGGAGCCUUCUCUUCUCCAAGCUAAACGAUCCCAGUUCCCUUCACCUUUCCUCAUACGAGAGGUGCUCCAGCCCUCUGACCAUCUUAGUGGCCCUCCUCUGGACCCACUCCAAAAACUUCCCGUCUUGCGGAGAAGAGAGAAUAAAGGUAAGGCAGACGCUGAGAAGGACAAGAGCAAAAGCUCUUGAAGAACAGGCACAGGUAAGAAAGAAGAGCAGAAGAGGAGGAGGAGAAAAAGAGAGGAUGAAGGUAAGAAAAACAAGCGGGCAGGGAGAAGAGCUGAAGAAGGGAUGAGUGGGUGCAGGUAAGACAGAACAGCAGAAGUGGAGAGGAGCUGAAGAGGAGAAGUAUGAAAAGUAGAGCAAAAGUACAGGAGGUGGAAAGAGAGGAAAGAGGCAAGAGAGAAGAGAGGAAGAGCAGAGAAAGAACAGAGCAGUAGAGAAGAGCGGACAGUGCUAUGAAAAGAAGAACAGUGCCAGAGAGCAGGUGAAGAAGAACAAAGAGCAGAAGAGGAAUGAAGAAGAGGUGUGAGGGCACAAGGAAGAAAGAUCAGAAGAGAAGAGGAGUGCAGUAAGAAGAAGGAGGAGAGAAGAUACGGGAAAAAGAACAGCAGAAGGGUGCAGAUGCGGAAGAUGAGAGUUGACAGCGGCAGAGCAGGACAGGGCAGAGCUCCGACAGCGG
ensembl:lncRNA